AGGGAUUGGCAUGGGCGAAAGCCUGAUCAGCCUGCCGCGUGUGUGAAGAAGGCCUUUUGGUUGUAAAGCACUUUAAGCGAGGAGGAGGCUACUUAGAUUAAUACUCUAGGAUAGUGGACGUUACUCGCAGAAUAAGCACCGGCUAACUCUGUGCCAGCAGCCGCGGUAAUACAGAGGGUGCGAGCGUUAAUCGGAUUUACUGGGCGUAAAGCGUGCGUAGGCGGCUUCUUAAGUCGGAUGUGAAAUCCCUGAGCUUAACUUAGGAAUUGCAUUCGAUACUGGGAAGCUAGAGUAUGGGAGAGGAUGGUAGAAUUCCAGGUGUAGCGGUGAAAUGCGUAGAGAUCUGGAGGAAUACCGAUGGCGAAGGCAGCCAUCUGGCCUAAUACUGACGCUGAGGUACGAAAGCAUG
rnacentral:rRNA from 1 species